AAAGUCGUAACAAGGUAACCGUAGGUGAACCUGCGGUUGGAUCAUUAUUGAUUUUUAGGAGAUUCAGGUUUGAUGCUCUUUGGAGCUCACCUGUCUUGACUUUUAACACUUUGUGCACCUAGAUUGUAUUUUGGGUCAACCGGGGUUGGCCCAGCAUUAAAAACCUUGUAUUUUUUGACUGAUUUUUUUAUGUAAAAGUAAAAUUAACAACUUUUGACAACGGAUCUCUUGGCUCUC
rnacentral:misc_RNA from 1 species